rnacentral:rRNA from 1 species
AGAGUUUGAUCCUGGCUCAGGACGAACGCUGGCGGCGUGCCUAAUACAUGCAAGUCGAGCGAGCGGAACUAACAGAUUUACUUCGGUAAUGACGUUAGGAAAGCGAGCGGCGGAUGGGUGAGUAACACGUGGGAACCUGCCCCAUAGUCUGGGAUACCACUUGGAAACAGGUGCUAAUACCGGAUAAGAAAGCAGAUCGCAUGAUCAGCUUUUAAAAGGCGGCGUAAGCUGUCGCUAUGGGAUGGCCCCGCGGUGCAUUAGCUAGUUGGUAAGGUAAAGGCUUACCAAGGCGAUGAUGCAUAGCCGAGUUGAGAGACUGAUUGGCCACAUUGGGACUGAGACACGGCCCAAACUCCUACGGGAGGCAGCAGUAGGGAAUCUUCCACAAUGGACGCAAGUCUGAUGGAGCAACGCCGCGUGAGUGAAGAAGGUUUUCGGAUCGUAAAGCUCUGUUGUUGGUGAAGAAGGAUAGAGGUAGUAACUGGCCUUUAUUUGACGGUAAUCAACCAGAAAGUCACGGCUAACUACGUGCCAGCAGCCGCGGUAAUACGUAGGUGGCAAGCGUUGUCCGGAUUUAUUGGGCGUAAAGCGAGCGCAGGC